rnacentral:lncRNA from 1 species
GAGCUGGAGAUGAAGAAGAAGAAAGUGUACGAAGCCGGUGUUGAGUUCUUUCGGGUGUACGCCUACCUUCACAAAGGGAGCAUGACCAACACAGAUUGACUUGAUAUCAACGUUACCGACAAGCAUAACCUCAUUCGUAGGCGCUUGUUCUAGGCGAGGCAUUGGCAUAGCGAGGAAAAGUUUGAUGUUUUUGUGCUUCAAUGAUACUCGGUUAUGCUGCCUUUUUUUUGUAGACUGUAAAGGUCCCUUUUUGUGUAGUCUUACACCAUUGAAACUUACAUAGACCUUUUGAACUUGCUGCACCAUUGUCUUUCUUGUUAAUUUGGGAACUUGGGGCAUCAAGAUAACUUUUGUUCACUUUGAUGUAAUAUUUGAAUACCCUCUCUUUGUAAUGACAUGGGAUUAAUGACUACUUCAAUUUCACUCUUGUUCACCAUUUAGUGUAAAAGCCACUGUAUGCUUUUCAGCUAUGCUUAAAAGAACAUAACAAAAUAUCAAAAGUUUACUUACUCCAAUUUAAAAGCCCUAUAUUAAGAUAAUUAAUUUGGAAUUCUGGACCAAUUUUACAUAUCAUGUGCACGACAUGUGCUUAUGGAGAUUUGAAAUAGUAAAUUUUAAAAUUUUUUCCUAGCUGGGAAAUUCAAAAUGGGUCAAAAUUUGGGCGGCAUUUUUGAGUUUUGGGAUAGGUACGAAAUAUGUGGUUGUCCUUUGAUUUUGUAUCAAUAAAAGACAACACAAUACACCACAUUUCCUCAUCCCUCAAACAAAGAAAUCCAUAACCACACCCAUGCAAUGAAAUCUUCACCUUCUUGUUCCCUCUCUUGCUCCCAUCUCCGCCCCCCCCCCCCCCCCCGCGAAAAUCUUCUUCUUCUCGUUCCUACCUAACACAGGUUUAUGGGAUCCAUAUGAGCUUGAAACAAUUGUAAGGAGGAUUACUAAGCAUGAGGGAAAUCAUGCAAAGAACCUCACAUCUUUGAAGCGGAAAUUGAAAAUGGCUCGUUGACCCAUGAAGAUGAUCGUGACAAAAGAGAUUGUGAAGUUCAUGUCAUCCGAUACGUACAUUGAUGGAAUGGGCGAGCAAUACAACCAAGGCUAUCAAUUGGGACUUUGUGAGGGGUUCAAGAUAUAUCACCUCUAUGCAAUGAAAGUGGAUGUUGACGGGAAGUGGGCGACCAUUAACUACUACAAGGCACUUGCCUUUAGGGCCACUUGCUAGAUUGUUUUACGGUUCUUUCGUGUUAGGAAUAAUUUGAACUCUUUUGUCUGUCCUUCAAAUUUUCUUAUAUUUCGACAUUUCGUAUAUGGAUUGUUAUAAGAAGGACCCCUUCAAUGUUAUCUAUGUUAUUUAUUAUUGGGAAAUGAGCCAUUUGCUUAAUCAUGGGACCAAAAUAGGACUUUUGGGACGUGCACAAAGCAUGCACAUGUCAUGCACACUACAUGCUCAGCACAAGCACAUGCAUUAGUUUAGAUAACGCACAUGAUUUCCUCGCACAAGCUAGGUUGAAGAGAUUUCUGGGGUAAACAUAAAGAAACGUAGCUGCAUAAUCUAAAUCUUUAGAUAAUUCUGUGUGUGGAUUGUUAUAAGAAGGACCUUAAUAUUUCAUUACUUCAAUGUUAUUUAUUAUCGGGAAAUUAACCAUUUGCUUAAUCAUAGGACCAAAGCAUGCACAGAACAUGCACACGACAUGCAUAAAUCAUGCACAUAACAUGCUCACUACAUGAUCAACACAAGACAUGCACAUUGCAAAUUGAAAUUACUAAAAUUACUAAAAUUAUUAAAAUUAAGAUAACAUUUACAUGGGAAGACAAACACCGAUCCAUUAUGUACUAAAUUUACAUUACAUUUAAGUGAAUAAACCGCAAAGUGUACGAAACUUAAUUGUUUGGUUAUAACCAGAAAAACUUCAAGCCAACUUGACAACAUGUUUUGCGUUGUUAUAACAAGAAAAACUAGUCAAAUAAAUGUUGCUUCCAUAUGACUUCACAGAUAUGCACUACCUCAUAUGAACUCAAUCGCAAUCUUUAGUCUGAAAAACCCCAGGUUCUUCGGAACAACAUCGUCGAUGGCCAAGUAGGUGGAUAGGUAGUUAGCAAAUUUAAGUAAUAAAACUCCGUAGGCCGCCUUACCACAGAACAACAAGUGCACGUAACAACGCACUCAAUAUUUAAGACAUUUAAAAUGAAAUUAAAGAUAAGUCAGAAAAGAACGUACCCAUUGUCUUGCUACUCACAUUUGAUUACAUGAUAAAUGCUAAACGGUUUAUCCAUCGAUUUAUGGGUUAGGCUCAAAUCAGGUCGUGCCUUGCCAAAUCCAGUCACCUUCUGAAGACUGGGAAUUUCAAAAUAGAAAUGUGGAAGCUGUUUCUUCAUUUUUACCCAUCCUGACCUUGAGAAAUGUGAAUCAUAAAUUGUGAUGGUGUGACGUACAAGAUGGACAUGUGCCAACAGCUAGUGGUGAUCGAUCACGUGAAAUGGGAUGAAUACUUCAUCAACAUCCUCCCAUGCACGCGUGUGUGGUGUCAUGCCUCAAUGCAACGUGACAUUAAUCAAGUGCCUCGAAGGCAUAAAAACAGAAGCUUAUUUUUCCUUUGCCUUCCCCUUGGCCUUAACAUUUGUUUUGGCAUUCUCAAAAUUCGCGGCUUCCUUUUUCAUUUUUUCCUGCACCGAUGCAUUGCAACAAAAUUAAAAAUUUUCCCACAUAAAACAAAAACAAAGGACAUGUUUGCCUAUUUGUAAACGACAAUGAAUUCAUAUUACGAACAUAAGUAAAUGAAAUUGAGGGUAAGAAUAGUAACAUAAAACUCACCUAAAAAUUUUAGGAUGCUCCAAUGAUCGCAUGUUCAAAAGGUGAAGUCGAUGUUGAUGUGCUAAAUCCAAAGUGAAAUGCAUUGCAAAUGGCAUUAUUAAGCACUUUGAUGCGAAAAUUAACUUAACACACAAAUUUAACCCUCUUUUUGUCAAUUGUAGUAAAGAAUGUAAGUAGGGAUCGUUCUAGGCCGGGGAUUAGGAGGGAUUGCUAAAUCACUUGGAAACUGACUUGAAAACGUAAAAACAAAGUUUAAAACACUAAACUAGACUCAAAGAAUGCAAAACUAUACUUUAAAAUAUUAAGAUAAACAAAAAGAUUCAAAACAGCAAAUAAACACUCAAAACUGCCUUAAAAACA